GGCGUCCUCUCUUACAUCAAAGUAUUCGUUUUCUGUUGACAGCUAUGCUGCUCUGUCGUCCAUAGAAAGCUCAUUAGCAAGGAGGACAUGUAGAGGUAAAAAUUAUUUUUCUGAAUCAUUACUUAAACAUUUGUAAAAAGCAGAGUGGAUAUCACAUGCAUUAUCUUGUGUACUGAUAUUUGUCUGUUUGUUUUUUUCUUUUUU
rnacentral:lncRNA from 1 species